AAGCUGGGGUCCCUAGGGUUUCUGGACCUCAGAUCACUGUGAGGCAGGAGGUCCUCCACCCUCCCUCCGGCAACUCUGAAGUAUGGGAAGUGGGCUGAUGCGCUGGAACGUCGAUGCAGCCAGUGAUGUGUUUGAUGAGAAUGUAUUGAGAGUAAAGCUGCCCAGAAUCCAAGUGUGUGUCAUCUGAACUCUUGAAUCAUGGAUGGAAGGUAUGUCCUCUGUUGAUGUCUCGCAGCCUGAGCUGACAAUCUGUAAGAAGGUUUUGUUAUCUUCAUGUUACAGAUGGUGAACCGAAACUUACAGAGCUCAAGUCACUUGACCAGGCUCCACCCCUACAAGAGGCAGCACGCAAACUAAAAACCAGGCGGCCUUUUCCAAAGCUUGUGCUCUGCUCCACUGCUGGAAGGAACCCUUCGGGGAAUUGAAGCAGCACUGAACAAAGGCCAUUUUUAAGAAGCGACACCAGAAACCUAAGGCGGGGUCCCCGGCUCAACAAGGAUCUCAUGUUUUGUGGGUCAGAGAUUCUUGUGUCGUGUCUGGGUGAGGUCAAAAACCAUGCAGAGACUUUCACUUCCUGUUCUGUGGCAGACAAGACAUCUGAAAAGCUCUCCUGCAGCAACACUUCUAGAUGCCAAGUAAAUCACAGCAAGUGCACUUUUAAAUGUGUUACUAAGAUCAUAAAAAUGAAGGAAAAUGCCCAAGCAUAUCCCCAACCCCUCACCCCACAACCACCACCACCACAAUAAACAAGUUGCUGACAGUGGAUUGGCAAGCGAGAGUGGAACCUUAGGCUGCGUUGGCAUCAAAUACUAAUAACCAAGCAAAAGGGAGCAAGACCAGGCCUGGGGGCUGUGCCAUUGAGAGGUGACCGCGUGCUGGCAGUCCUCACAGC
rnacentral:lncRNA from 1 species